rnacentral:rRNA from 1 species
GUUUGAUCCUGGCUCAGGAUGAACGCUAGCUACAGGCUUAACACAUGCAAGUCGAGGGGCAGCAUGAACUUAGCUUGCUAAGUUUGAUGGCGACCGGCGCACGGGUGAGUAACACGUAUCCAACCUGCCGAUGACUCGGGGAUAGCCUUUCGAAAGAAAGAUUAAUACCCGAUGGCAUAGUUCUUCCGCAUGGUAGAACUAUUAAAGAAUUUCGGUCAUCGAUGGGGAUGCGUUCCAUUAGGUUGUUGGCGGGGUAACGGCCCACCAAGCCUUCGAUGGAUAGGGGUUCUGAGAGGAAGGUCCCCCACAUUGGAACUGAGACACGGUCCAAACUCCUACGGGAGGCAGCAGUGAGGAAUAUUGGUCAAUGGACGAGAGUCUGAACCAGCCAAGUAGCGUGAAGGAUGACUGCCCUAUGGGUUGUAAACUUCUUUUAUACGGGAAUAAAGUGAGGCACGCGUGCCUUUUUGUAUGUAUUAUAUGAAUAAGGAUCGGCUAACUCCGUGCCAGCAGCCGCGGUAAUACGGAGGAUCCGAGCGUUAUCCGGAUUUAUUGGGUUUAAAGGGAGCGUAGGUGGGCUGGUAAGUCAGUUGUGAAAGUUUGCGGCUCAACCGCAAAAUUGCAGUUGAUACUGUCAGUCU